GACGGCUGAAGGUGAUUCUUUGACGUGUUUUGCAGGUGAAGCCUUGGAGUGUCACUGUGGAGGCCAGAAGUUCUGUUCAAGCCCUGUGGAGACGUGCUCCAGCUCUAAAGAUGUCUGCUCUACUCUCGUCAUCACUUCUGGGCCGGUGGUAACGCACACAAGGGCUGCUUGAAGUCGCUGGCCUGCAGGAUCCUGAAUCGUCCGCCCGUGAUGACUGUCAGCUGUUGCAGUUCUGAUCUGUGCAACAGAUAAACCGCUGCCAUGCGGGACGUCGCCCGAUUGGUCGACGGUCUGCUGCCGUGUGUUGUGUACUGUAGAACAAUAAAGAUCAGCUGACUGCA